rnacentral:rRNA from 1 species
GCAUAUUACUAAGCGGAGGAAAAGAAACUAACCAGGAUUCCCCCAGUAGCGGCGAGCGAACAGGGAAAAGCCCAGCGCCGAAGCCCGCGGUCGACACCGGCCGCCGGGCAAUGUGGCGUUCGGGAGGAUCCGUUUACCCGGACCCGCGCGGUCAGUCCAAGUCCUUCUUGAACGGGGCCACACUCCCAGAGAGGGUGCCAGGCCCGUAGCGACGAUCGCCGAGUUCGGGUGGAUCUCUCCUUAGAGUCGGGUUGCUUGAGAGUGCAGCCCUAAGCGGGUGGUAAACUCCAUCUAAGGCUAAAUACGACCACGAGACCGAUAGCGAACAAGUACCGUGAGGGAAAGUUGAAAAGCACUAGACCAAGUCUCUGCUACCGUAAGUACUCUA